rnacentral:rRNA from 1 species
GACGAACGCUGGCGGCGCGCCUAACACAUGCAAGUCGAACGAGCGAGCGAGAGCUUGCUUUCUUGAGCGAGUGGCGAACGGGUGAGUAACGCGUGAGGAACCUGCCUCAAAGAGGGGGACAACAGUUGGAAACGACUGCUAAUACCGCAUAAGCCCACGACCCGGCCUCGGGUUGAGGGAAAAGGAGCAAUCCGCUUUGAGAUGGCCUCGCGUCCGAUUAGCUAGUUGGUGAGGUAACGGCCCACCAAGGCGACGAUCGGUAGCCGGACUGAGAGGUUGAACGGCCACAUUGGGACUGAGACACGGCCCAGACUCCUACGGGAGGCAGCAGUGGGGAAUAUUGCACAAUGGGGGAAACCAUGAUGCAGCGACGCCGCGUGGAGGAAGAAGGUCUUCGGAUUGUAAACUCCUGUUGUUGAGGAAGAUAAUGACGGUACUCAACAAGGAAGUGACGGCUAACUACGUG